rnacentral:rRNA from 1 species
GGAGCGAGGCGGACGGCGACAUGAUGCGGAGGUGUAGCGAAGGCGGGCAGCGACAUGAAGCGGAGGUGUAGCGGUACUUCCACCAGGAAGCGACUGGACAAGUAGGUAGCGAGCAGAACAAGCAGAGAGACAAGAGGCCAGGAGCAGCAGCAGUUCGACCUAGCUCUCAAGCACCCUGCAGUGGCUCGGCUUGCACACGUCUAGCGCCUCCACGGCAUGAAAGCCAUGAUCCUAGCCAGCCUAGCACUUCUGCAUGCUGAUGUAUUUGGUGCAACAGUAUUGCGAAGGCGAAUGCCAGAUGCUCCCCUAACCGUAGUAGCCAAGUAUUAGUUCAAACUGAGCAAUAGAUUAGACGACCCGUAUAGCUGAGACGCCGAUUCCACGCGAAGGGUGAGAAAAAUUGAACAAAGCCAACUAACACGAACCUAACGCAGACGAAUAAGCGUCAAUAAAAGCAACGCGUUAAACACUAUAAACACUUUACGGUGUAGAAACUAUACUAGAGAAUAUCGAUUCUUUUCCAUUUUUUUGUAGGAAAACAGAAGGUUGAGUUGUCAAUAAACUGUAACGAUUUUAUAUUGGUAAAAUAAAAGGAAUUGAUAUAGAACUGAUAUAUCCAGUUGUGACUGAACAAAAACCGUGUGUACCAAGGGUAACGGAACAAUACUUUGUUCCUUAUUCGUCUAUGGUUUUAAAUCCCAGCUAGCUACCCAUGCUUUGUGUAUACAGUUACUUCAUUGAAACCCCUUGGUACUUGAGUUUUUAAAUCCUCGUGAACUGUCGCUCUGCCUCAAUUGACUUUCACUAGAUGUUUAUUAGCACAGUAAGAGAACAUACUCUAGACUUCGUUCCAACAACCCAGUCAAGAACAAAACGAAACUCUAAAGUCAAAGACGGAUACAAUGAAACAACUACGAGUACUCCACAAAGAACAAUACAGACGAAGUUAAAAGAAAAUAAAAAAGACAACACACUAAAAGGUUCGUUCCAACAAACCAGCUAAGAACAAAACGAAGAAACUCCGCAAAGAACAAUACAGACGAAGUUAAAACAAAAGAAAAAAGAUAACACGCUAAAAGGUUCGUUCCAACAAACCAGCUAAGAACAAAACGAAGAAACUCGAAAGCCAAAGACGGAGACACUUAUGCGAGUAGUCCACAAAGACGGAGACACUUAUGCGAGUAGUCCACAAAGAAGAAUACACACGGUUCAAACGACACGAUCUAUCUACUGUACGGACGUCGUGUUCAAUACAACUUUGGUUCAGACGACACUUACUAUUCGUUCCAACAAGCCAGCCGAGAACAAAACGAAGAAAGUCUAAAGCUAAACACGGAGUACGAUAGUAAUAGGGUAGUCUCAUCCAUGUGUAGUCUCCUCCAAGUUAGUACAAUACUAAUACCAAAGAUAUUAAAAUAAUAUCUACCUACGAAGAAAAAAGGAACAAACAAGACAUGUUGUUUCACGUGAAAACUAACUAUAAUAAUGUACAAUAAUUUUCACGUCUAACAUCAAAACCAGUGAGUACAUUUUAACUCCCUCAGUAAUUGUCAUCCACCAUUAACUCCAGCAUGUUCCUAUAGAAGUCAAGAACUAUUUCGUAUCACGGUAGACAGAAGGGGGGAAAACAAGACGGUCUAGACCAAGAGAAAUAAAAGAGAUGAACAAGAACAACACUCCAAGAACUACUCAGAGUAUGUCUAACUAUACCACAUGUAAAAACGUUCACACACAUGUCAGACUUGUUCACUAAUCAUAUACCGGCUCCGUCAAAACGCCGCAAAUCAUGUGACGAUAAACUCGUCCGGUCGUUUCUUAACGAAAUCACUAACAACUCGACACAACAUGAAAAAGAAGUGUACUUUACUAGAGAAACAACUAGAAAAAAGGGGCAAAAGAACCUCUCACAACGGAAACGUUACCAAACCGGUAUUUAAAAAACACAACGCUAUCGGUUUAUGACUUGAAAUCUCCCUCUGUAAGCGACAAAAAGUCUUAACUACCUUGAUGUUUUUUAUUGACCGAGACGAAUUAUUAAGACGAAUGUGGGGAUAAACAUUUCUGAAAACAAAUCAUGUGCGAACUAUGGAUCGUGGUCAUGGGGACAAAACAAUAAUGAUGGGGGCAACGAUUUAUAUUCUACAAAAUCAUCAAGUUAAAAUUGACGGUUUUGUAGAACAAAGAUCUUUGUCUCCCACAUAAACUGACGUUCUAAACUAUCGUUUCGUAUGGUCAUUCACCAGGUUUCUUUCCUGAAACAUCACUAGACGACGUCCAAGAGUUCCUGAUGAACGACGGAAACACACACAAAAAUCGGAAGAGUACUAAAUGAAGGAGUGUUUUGAUUCGUCACACCAACUGAAUGUAAUACGAGUCGUAUAGCUGAGACGACGAUUCCACGCGAAAGGUGAGAAAAAUCGAACGAAGACAACGAACAAGAACCUAACGUAGACAAAUAAGCGCCAAUAAAACGAACGUACUAGAUAUUAUAAACAUGCAUAGCUGCUCGUCCCUUGUACUUAAGGUCACUAGGACCAUGGCUAGUACGACGACGUGUGUCAACUAGACAACGAGCUUCAGCAUCAUCUCGUCGUCGUGCAGAAUGCAACAAGUUUUCACGCAACGCCAAACUUUACUAGCAUCCAAUAACAACAUGAAUGUUGCGACGUAAAACACGUUACACUUGAAUACACAUUUAGUGGAGAAAUCCGCGGAACUCAAGACAUGGAUCUAGUAGUAGGAAACCACGUUUGUCAGGAAAAUACCCAUACACGGUAGUUAUGACAUUAAGUUUGUUCAUCUUAUUGUGGGAAAAUUGUGUAGAUAUGGUUAGACUUUUAAAGGAAUCCGCCACCAAAGAAAGGCCAAGACAGUGCAUGUAUGUCGGCCAAUUCCGCUGUAGUCGCUUACGCUUUCUCUUUUUACGCUCACACCGCAGCUUGUCCAGACGGGACGAACACAGCCGAGUGUAGGGUGAUAUUUUUGUUUCGGAUUGAGCAAUACGCGGACACGAUUUAAUAAAGAAAGUAAACAAAAUUCCAAUGGGGAUGGUCUGAUGUAGAUGGUGCGCGAGAGACAAAAGAAGACUGAUGUGUCUCAAGAAUUUUCCAUAGAAACACUAUUUUCCAGUAUAUCAAUGUGUGAAACAUCUUUGUAGAUUAAGUGAGAGAGAUGUUGUAGUAUAUUCUUCUCCAGGAUAGACCCUCGCGGACUUAUGUGUACGGUCAAUACACCGCGAAAGAAAACCAAGGCACUCUCUACAUUAUCUCUUUGUACACACUCACUUGCAGUCUAGCAUAUAUUGGAUACGACGUUUACGCCAUUUGAUAGUUACGGGCGGAAAUUUUUCGGUGGUGGAAAAGACAGUCUUGAUGAAUCCAAACUACCACUAAGUGCAAGAUUCGUUAAGAACCUAUCUUAGUCUGUUAUGUUAAGUGAAAAACGAAAGUGCAGGUACCCUCGCCUAUAAUUAUUUGUAUAAUUGUUUCCACCACCAGGUAUACACAAAUUUAAAGUACCAGUCCAUAUAGUGGCAUAACCUAACGAAGACGGUUUAUCUCCACGGUGAGGUUUCAAACAACUUGAUAUGUAAGUAGUGUGUGUUUUACUCGAAAGUUUAGCUUAAUUACGGCCCUACUGGCUUCUACCACUUUUUCUGUCACCAUAACUAUCUCUGUAUCGACUACCAAAUUACUUCUACGAACUACUCAUAUUAGGAGAAUACGUCUGUAAAUCUUACCGAUCUCUAGCUGAAAUUUUGGUUCCGCUACUUUCUUAACCAUAAUCCUAACAACCACGUCUUUUUUUACUAAGUCAUGUCAUAUUACAGGGACGUACGUUACUUGAACGACCAAAUUAAUAACCACUAAAACCAGAUCUUUUAAUAUUUGCGCUACAAUAACAACUAUCAUACCUCUUUCCAGAUGUGGUACACAGAUCGGAGGUAGGUCGAAAGUACGGUAACAUCAUGGGAAAUAACAAGGGCAUACCAGCUGCUCCUAAAGUCGAGCCGUAUGGAGUGUCUCUCUAUCUGAAUUACGUGAGGCAUCUAUAGUGUUCACUGGAGGGUCAAGGACUCCCAUCUUCGGUACAGAGUUACCGUCUCAUGAUGACGAUGACGAAAGUAAUAUUUUUUCUAGUUAAGUUAGGUAAAGAAACGACACCUUCUAAUAGAAGAGUCAGGGUCCAACUACCAAAACGUUCACAACUUCUUCCGUCCGAUUGUAUGUAUCGUCUCGUAGUUCUACUGAAAUCUACGCUUGUAAAGGUUCCACAACGACUACGGCAACCGGUCCCUGUAGAACUACCAUCGUCAUAUCCAUUUUUCUCUUAAUAGGUACGUCGGAAGUGUCCGUCGCUAACGAUACCUGUCGUUUUAAAAGUUCUACCACAGUGUUAGACAGCACAAAAACCAGGUGGAGUAAAUAAACAGUGGAAGUACACAUUGGGCUUCACCCUACUCUAGUUUCUACGGGAACAUAAAAUCGGAUCUGUUUUUAUGUGUCUAGCUAGACUAGAGCACACAGCUCACAAGUUCGAGUUCGACCUCGUAAAGUACUUUCCCUAGUACUUCCCAGCUUGAAAACCAGGACAAACGUGCCCAUGGAUAAGAGGGGUGUUGACUAAACAGUUGUUGAGGCAUCGAGAUGUGAGUAAUCCGAUUAUGAAGGUAAGUUAACUAUAUAUCACAAUGUCUCACACCUCAAAGUCUUCGCGCUAGACGGUGUGUAUGUACAGGAGUAGACCGAACUUCCAUCCUGUCCACCUCCGGAUUGGCUGGAACGUCUAUGUAUGUAGAAUCGGCUCUAAGAGCUAGGUCAUCAUCUAGGAGAACCGAUACGGAAUCAGCUUCUAAAAUACUACGUACCGGGCACACCAAAUCGAUUAUUUUUGACGGGAACGUACUUUCUAUUCCACACGUGUUUUUUACAGGUUUUGUUAAAGUCUCACUCUCGUGACAACUGCUAUUCCCAAAACAGUACAUAUCCGCAGCACUAAGACCAUAUUUUUAUUUGUUUUUCCCAUGACUAGAACUAUUGUCUGUACAACAAGGUAUAACGUACUUUGAGAAUUUCUUUAAGGUUCGAGUGUAGGUACAUCUCACCACGUUGUUUUCACUCCACAAUUUCAUGGACAAGUUCAUGCACUGGUUCCCUUGUCUGGCAAGUUUACAACAAAAGUGUUUUAUGUUUUUCUCCUUUGUACCACCACCACUACUGCAAUCACUGCACGGUCUCUGAAGAAGACGACGUUUUGCAUGUUUCAAACUUGAAUCCCCUUUAAUCCACGAUUUUUAUACUUUAUCUACUCUGUUUAUUGAAAGACUUUCGAGCUAUAGAAACACUGUUUGUUCGAUAAACCGUUUACAUACCGAUACUGUAGGUGGUGAUAAUAGGGGAACAACUCGCAGAACGAACAGUAGAAGGUUUGUACUUGUUACAAUAGAAAUUUAGCUGAUGAUCGAAUGGUAGUAAUCAAAGAUGUGGAAAGGAAGUUGCUUGUUGUGACUGGCGUACCAAGCUUCGCUUACGUCUCAAAGGUGUCCCAUCUACAGAUUGUAUAACACUCAUGGGUGUUGUAAAACAAAUCUAAAAUCUCGCGGCAUUCACCCUACUUUCUACUGUACCAUGUUUCUAUCCAGCAUACAUGGUGCACGGAGGUCUACGACCACUGACAAUAAUGGACACUUACGAAGAAUACAUACAGUUUCGUCGACUCAGCAUGCUUCUACCUAAGUGAGUGAAAAGCAAUACUACAAAUAGAUGACACCAUAUCCACUGCUUGCACCCAAAAAACUUUUUAUAACCGCUCGAUACCCGCUGCGUCAAGUUUAUUAUACAGUAUGUUACACGGACUACUGAGAAAUUUUCUGUACCAAAAUGUCCUUGAUGUACUCAACAAGAAUUUUUUACCAGUAUCGGGUAGUUUAAUGUUGAAAGGAGGAGAAUGACCAUCGUGAAGUUCACGUAAACUUUUAUCUAACCAACCACUUCUUGACAGUAUAUUACAUGGCUUCGAUAAUCAACUCUCGGGUGCGGACAUACUUGCAGAUUUAUUACUGGUUGUGUGACGAAUGGUAGCAUAACAGCUAUUACACUGGUAACCUGGUGGUCGAGACAUGAAACACACACCCAUACCACCUUGACCCUUUUGGAAGGAUACCUGAAGAUAGUGGCGUAUGGAUGCUAGGGUUGUAAACCAACAAGAAUGUAAAGUAGAAGGCCGCAGCGUGGGAACGAAGAAGGUCCACCAUCUUGUCGUGUAAGUGUUAAAUUUUAUAGCUAACUGUAUCUACUUUGGCGGCAAACACUAUACUUUGUGCCAAGUUACGAACGCACUAACUAGUUCAAUCGAAGUGAAUAUUAUACCCUGCUCCGGGAUUACUCGGUAGCCGCAACGAAACUUCGUCAACUAUCUAGAUACGCACUACACGAAAGACUUCUAUUGACAACCCCUAUAAUGAUAGUCAAUACUGGGCGGGUCCUCCCCGGCCCAGUCGGGGUUACCGCCCAAUGUGUUCUUCGGGUCAUUUGUAAGUUCUAAUAUCAAAUAAUUUAUAAUAUCUUCCGGGUUUCCGGACUUCCGCCAAAUUCCGGACUAUAACACUUGGUAGCAUACAUGCCUUUCUGAACAUUUCUUUCUGUACAUUUCCUUCAGUGGCUCGGCCUGUGCUAAUACUCGGCCGGCCCUGAGACAUCCGGUGGUCCGCAGUUGGGUACAUAUAUUCCCCUGCUGGGCCACCGCCGAAUCCCGUUCUUUGUUGUUCAGCUACUGGUUCAGCCGUUCAACUCGGAGAACCACUAGCUUUGGGGUCGUUAUGG